GACAGGGGUCUCGAGCGUUAAUCGGAAUUACUGGGCUUAAAGGGUGCGUAGGCGGACCCGAACGCGUCCCGUGAAAUCCCCCGGCUCAACCGGGGAACUGCGGGGCGAACGGUGGGUCUCGAGGCAGGUAGGGGUCGCCGGAACCGUAGGUGGAGCGGUGAAAUGCGUAGAUAUCUACGGGAACGCCGAUGGUGAAGACGGGCGACUGGGCCUGUCCUGACGCUGAGGCACGAAAGCGUGGGGAGCAAACAGG
rnacentral:rRNA from 1 species